GAGCAGCUCCGGCGCGUGGUCACCAGUGAGGAUCCGCGGUACAUCUAUCAGGAUGGUGGUGCCCUGGCAGAGCUGGAGGGAGAGCUCACCGAUGACCUCUGCACCAUCAUCUCCAUCAGGCCGGAGCCAGAGCCAAAGCCGAAGCCCUGCACUGUGCAAUGCCCCAGGGGCGAGAAGGGAGAUCGCGGCGAGGCAGUGAGUGCUUUGGCAUCCCACCCCUGGCUGGUGGCUCUGGGGAGGGGGCUGCAUACCCCAAAGCAUGCUGAUGCCAGCCCACAGGGGGUGCUCACCACUGACUUUGUCUCCACAGGGACCACAAGGACGCAUGGGGCCACCAGGUCCCCCUGGCGAGCCGGUAAUAUCCUGAUGGGGGGAGGGAGAUGGGGGGCAGCUCCCUGGCAGGGGGCAUGGACAUGGUCCCCGCAUCCCCUUGUCCUGCUGACAGGUGGGUGUGGGCCAGGGACCUGUCCAGCCCUUGACACAGGGGUAGACAGAGAACAUCCCUUGGCCACCACUUGCCACCCAGCCUCUCCUCUCCGCUGUCACCCCAGGGCCGCCAUGGACCGCCUGGCCCUCCAGGACCCCCAGGGCCACAGGGUCUGCCAGGAGAGAGCGCCGAGCGGCCAGGCAAGAAGGGGGACAGGGGAUUCCCUGGAGCUGAUGGGACACCAGGAAGCCCCGGCCGCCCUGGGAACCCUGGAUCACCUGGUCAGCCGGGCAUCCAGGGCAUCCCUGGCCCCCGAGGGGAUCCCGGGACACGGGGGCCGAUGGGGCUUUCUGGUCCAAAGGGGGAGAAGGGUGAGCCGGUAAGUAAUGGGCAUGGGGCUGCCCCAUGGGAGUCCCUGGGGAGCAGUGGGGAUCCUGACGGGCACAUCUCAGCCCCUGGCAUCUCCUGAUACUUGAUGUCUGGGUGACCCC
rnacentral:lncRNA from 1 species